AGUGAACGCUGGCGGUAGGCCUAACACAUGCAAGUCGAACGGCAGCACAGUAAGAGCUUGCUCUUACGGGUGGCGAGUGGCGGACGGGUGAGGAAUACAUCGGAAUCUACUUUUUCGUGGGGGAUAACGUAGGGAAACUUACGCUAAUACCGCAUACAACCUACGGGUGAAAGCAGGGGAUCUUCGGACCUUGCGCGAUUGAAUGAGCCGAUGUCGGAUUAGCUAGUUGGCGGGGUAAAGGCCCACCAAGGCGACGAUCCGUAGCUGGUCUGAGAGGAUGAUCAGCCACACUGGAACUGAGACACGGUCCAGACUCCUACGGGAGGCAGCAGUGGGGAAUAGUGGACAAUGGGCGCAAGCCUGAUCCAGCCAUACCGCGUGGGUGAAGAAGGCCUUCGGGUUGUAAAGCCCUUUUGUUGGGAAAGAAAAGCAGCAGGUUAAUACCCCGCUGUUCUGACGGUACCCAAAGAAUAAGCACCGGCUAACUUCGUG
rnacentral:rRNA from 1 species